GGUUCAAGCGGGCGGUGACGCCUCCCGCCGGGCGGGCUGCGGAGCGGCGGCGGAGCCCGGCUCGGCCGCGGGGCCGCCCCGGCAGCCACCGACGGAGCCCGCCCUGAGCCGCGGGGCUCCCGGCGCGCCGGUUCCCGGUUCCCGGCCCUCCUCAGCCGAGCGUCCCGGCGCCGGGCGCUCCCCUGGCCCGGGGCCCGGCCGGGCCGAGGCCGCUCCGCUGGCCCGGUGGCCCCUCGGUGUCCCCCGUCCGCGCCCGGACCCCGCGGGCCGCCCGGAUCUAGGCCGGAGCCCGAGGCUGGCCGGGGACCCGCAUCCAACCGGGGACAGUCACUGGUGUCCCUGAGAUUUGCAGGCGCUGCACGGAUUCUUUGAGAACUUGUUAAACUCUCCUGUGGACUGACCGUUCCAAAGAUAACAGGCACGGGGAAAUGAGAGGGUGUUAAGUGCCCCUUUGUAACACCUCCGCGUUUAGGGCUUUCCCAGUCAAAAUCCACUUUUGCCCUAUUCAAAGUAAUGUUAAAGAUGGGGAUAGUGCAUGGCUCUCAUUAGUCUUUUUUUGUUGGUUUUGGUUUGUUGUUUUUUUUUUUUAUUUAAAUCUUUGUAAUUAAGCAAGUCUCUUGACUGUUGGAGGUCUGAGUCAUGGUAGCUGAAUGGGUACACUGAUAAUUUGACAAGAGAAAAGCGCUUUUCUGUGUUUAUAAAAGAUGCUUUGACUUACAGCCCUGUGUCCAGGGAGCCAUUACUUAAUCUAUCAGGCAUCUCAUGAUAUCUGAUGUUUUCACAAGAUCUGCUCGAGUCAGAUGACUACAUGAAAGACUUGUAAGUUUUUAUCCUACUUUUUUUCAGAUCACACAUUGCAAAGAAAAUAGUUUUUAUUUUCAACUGCCUUUUGAAUGUUUAUUGAUGGAAAUGUACUCUAGUGGGAUACAAAGAAUCAAGAAGAAAGAAAAAGAAUGUGAGGUUUUUACAAAAUCAAACUGUUUUGGGGAUAUCUUCUGUAACUAGUUUUGUGACACUCCUCUCCCCAAACAUGUAUGGGCAGUAGAUUUGGAGUUACGUUGUCCCUUCGUGUUUGAGUAACUCACAAAUUAAGGCUAGGUUCGCAUCUUUAUUUUUUAUUAGUGUAUUCAGUAGUUUGCAUCCAGAUAAAAGGAAAAUCUUUGCUGAGCUCUGGUUUAGAAAUGCUGUCUCGGAUGAUGUCAUGCUAACUAGUGCCUUCCACCAGUGCCUUCCACCACCAUGUCAUCACUCACUGAGGGCACCUCAGCCCCUCCACUGGAGCUCACCUGCUCUCCAGCUGAGCCUGAGCCUGCUCAGACCAGGCCUGACCUUCACCUGGCAGCAGGGAGCUUGCUGAAGUACAUUAUAAUGACAAAGGUGCCACAAUACAUAUUUCAUAUCAAAGAAAAGGGAUGCUGCUCUAAGGUAAUGGUAUCCUGCUGGUAUGUAAGAGCUGAGAACAGGUGAAAUAUAUACCAUGAAAACAUAUUUGAGGUUUGAUUAUGAUUAUUUUAUUUCAGCUAUCUGAAGUGCAUGAUGCAAAUGUAACUGCAUAAUCUGAUAAAUAUUCAUACAGUAAAGCAGGUACAGCUCACUUUAUCUUACUGACAUGCUUAGAAAUCAAUGUAUGUCCUUCUUUUAUUAGAGAUUAUUCUGUUGUUGAGAUUUAUGGUUUAUGUAUUUUAUUGGGUUUGCCUUCUGGAGCAACUGCAUCAGCUGGGGAACACUGUAAAGCUCCCUAAACUAAGGCCAAGGCUUUCACAAUUGGUCAGUGCUGACAUACCUUUGUUAAAAAAGUGCCUAUUCCUGCACAAAAAAUAUUUUAAAUCUGUAGCAUCUCCACUGUACAGAAGAUACUCCACUACAGAAAAGACAAUGGAUUUUAAUAGGCUAAAAUUAAUUAUGUGACCCAUUAAAUUUUGUGAUUGAAAUCUUCCUGGAACAUUGUCAAAAAAUGUGUUUCAAACCAGCAGUUAUUGGUCAGUAUUUUGCUUACAUAAGCUUUUUAUCUAUUUUGAGCAGAUAAAAAUUAUAAAAAAAUUAUAUGAUUUGUGAAGCACAGGUUAAAAAAAAACCCCAAAAACAAACAAACAAAAUAAAAACCCAAAAAAACCCAAAAAAAAAAAACCAAAAAACCACAACCCCAAACCCUUAAGAUAGAUGAGUGGUGAUAAACAGAUCUUUUGGUUCUGCUCAUCUUUCAAAUACAGCCUGAGAAAUUCGUGUCACAUAAUACCUUCCCCACACCGCCAUCUGAUGUUUAGUUGGAGUUGUACUCGCAGUUUGAGUGUACAGCCACUCUAAAAUGCCAUAGUUUCAGUUUUCUCACAGAGCUAAUAAUUGUCUGGAAUUUAAGCAAAAGCUUAAAAUUAACAUUCCCAUGUACAAAGUGUUCAGCCUGAUCAACUGAAUCAUACCCUAGACUUUGUUGAUUGUAAUAGCUAAAAUUUUUGAUGAUAGUAAUAAAUUCCAAAUCAGUUAAAACCAGUCAUGAAUACACCUGAGGAAUGUUAUUGUCCCUCUGACAAUUCUUAUUGUUAAUAUUUGCAUUUAUUGUUAUAAGCCUGAAUUCAGUAAUAUUAGCAGACUUCCUUCCUGAAGGCAAGUUCAGAAUGCAUCACACUUGAUCCUGACCCAGGCUUUAUGGCCUCUUACUGUGCUGCUCCUCAAGGGAAUGCAUUCAUAGAUCAUGUCUUAAAUUCCCUCCCACAAGUAUUUGCAUAGACUACUCCAAUGGCAGAUUUCCCCUUUGCUGAAAGUGUUGAUUCUGCCAGGGUUAAGACAGUUUUCUCUUUCUUGGAGGUAGAAAGCCAGUGCCUGCCAGAAGACAUCCUUUCAGCCCAGCCCCAAGUGCUGAGCCGUCGGCAGAGAGAGGUGGAGGUUUCUGUGCACAGCAGAUAGCUGCAGCUACUGUUCACAGGAAAGACACCCAGACCUAACAAGGACUAUGGAUUGAAUGAGAUAAGAUCUGCACUCAGAAGCAGCCAGAAACUCAUGCAUUACACUUAUGGGGGAAGAUCACCCACACUGCACAGACCUGCAGUGAGCUUUGGGAGGGAGGAGGCAGUUCAGCAGAGUGUACCAUGGAUGCCCUUGCAUUGUGGAGGAAGGCACAGGCAAUUGGAUUUAACCAGCUGGGUGGAAUUUGAUUUGAUUAGCUUUGGCACAGUUUCACAUACUCUCAAUUCAUCAGUGAAUGGAGUAACUAUAUUGGAAAGCUACUGGGGAAAAACAACAUUGCCCCUGAUGCUACUGUCACAGGCAGAUAGAGCACAAUCCCAUACAGGCUCACUCUGUGUUUUCCUCUCUUCAUUGUCUCCCUAGUUAGUUUUUUUGUGCCAGUGUGUGUCUUCCUGUAUCAGGAUUGGCUGCCUUUUCUUGGUCUGAGAUCUUGGCAUGUAAAGAGCAGUAAUUACUCCAUGACUCGACUAUGAGCAAGGGUGGAGUGCCCCCUCUUGAACAAUAAAACCCCUUGUAGAGAAAAGCCUAACUGAACAAAACAAAAUGUGUAAAACCAGGCAGUGCUGCCACAAAGCACUUUGCUAGCUAGUGAGUCUAUAUGGAUUAUGAAUAAGAGCCAACUGUGAUUUAAUCUGCCCUGCCUGUGAAAGAUCCCAUUCUAUGAAGGUAUACGUGUUAGUCUCUUCUUACUUCAUACAAGUCUAGGCAAAUACAACUUCUUUAGUUUGACUGUAGCUGUGCCUAAUUUCCACCAAGAAUGAGAACUGAACCAGGCCCAGCAAUUUGGGACAGCAUGUUCAUACAAAGCCAUCUUCUCUCAAAUUCAUCUUGAGAAAAUAACAUCCCCUACUUUUACCCACUGUCAAUACCUCAUAAUUUUGAUUAUCAGUUGUGGCAGCUCACAGUUAAAAACAUUUUUGUGUAGUGUGAGCUUACAAGUCCUGUAAUAUGAGCUAAUAAAGGGUAAUAUGCAAGUAAUUGAAAUCUUUCAAAACAUGGCUCACCAGAAGAUCAUGUGUCUAUCAUGUGUCAGGCUGAGCUCUCUGUAUGAAGAAUAAUAUGAGGGAAUUUUAUUGCUUUAUCUUACAGCUCCCCAGAAGACCAUCUUUUUAAAGUACAAUAAAAAAAGUGUUUUGUUUGAAGGAUAAAUCUGAAGAAAAGUUACAGGUUUCAGAGACAGAGAAUCAAGCUAAAUAUGUUGAGCUAUACAGAUGAAUCUAAAUAAUUAUUCCUGUGAAACACAUUCUCAAGCUAAGUUCCCCUAAGUAUUAACAUCUGUCUUGAGUGAAAACAGACUUUCCUCAGUUAAUUUUCAAAUCAAGAGGUGAAAUUAAAAAGUAAGAAAAUGUAAAAAAAAAGUAUGAAAAUUAAAUUGAAGCAUCCAAGUUUUCAAUAGAAAACUAUCCAGGUAUGAGCCCUUUUGAUUUUUAGCAGGGUACUACAAUUAUGAAUACCUGUACGAACUCAGUUGGAUCUAUAGAGAGGCCAAAAAUCCCCAUGUAUAUGUCUGGAAAAUACAGAAAAUGGAAAUAUGGAUUUUAAAGGUAAAGAACAAAAAAUUAAUGUACUUAACAAAUUAGCAACAGAUAUGUGAUUUUGCGUGUGUACUUCUUACAGAUUUUGUUCCACUUCCUCAAGUCCUAUGUGGCAGGACAUUUUCUUUUGAAGAACAAUGCAAGAUUGAAAACUAUACAUGAAAACAGGCCUUUAAUCACGUAAAACUCAUGGGUUUUGGUUAUCACAUUUUAAACUAUGAAACCAGAGAGACAGGACUAAUGACUGUUUUAUUUUUGAGAAUAACCACCCAGAGAUUUGCCCACAGUCAAGGAACCCAAAUUCAUUUUUCUGAUCCACUGCAGACUGUGCAAGACUUUUGAAAGCCACAUAACCCCCUUAUCUCAUAUUCCUUUCAGUGAAUGGGAAUCAUAGAAUUCACUAUAUGAAAGGGGGGGUUUAAGACUAAAAUCUUUAAAACAGCAAGUUGAUCAUGUGAUACAGGAAAGGGGACCAAGUAAAUAAAAUAGAGAUUACUCUGUAAUCACAGAUGUGCUGUCCUCCCCCCAUGGUACUUUUGAUAUGCACACUAACAUUGCAGGAUGCAGGCAGUGCCUAGACCAUCUUUAAAUUAUUAAAUUAUUGUCUGUUGUAAUACAUUUUUCCACUUGUGUAGCUUAUUAAUUUUGCUGUCAUCCUCACUCAACAAGCAGAUACAUCAGCUGAGAGAAGAAAUGCCAACAUGAGGAUAGCAAGUUCAUAGGUUAAAAAAAGUCUUUCCUCUAUAAAUAGAGUUGGUAUAAAUCACAAGAGUCUGCAAAAUGGGCCUGGGAAAAUUAGCUGCUGACCUAAAAACACUUCCUGUUGGCUGUCUGGGACUCCAUUACACAGUUAAAAGUGACAAGAAUUAAAGCAGCUAAAGAAGCAGGACUUUAUGGUGAAAUAAAGAAUAAAGUGUCCUGGCAAACAUGAAAAUAAAACAAAGUGCAACUAAUAAAAAUACAACUAUACUAUUGUGCAAAUUUUCUAAAUAAUCAAAAGGCAAAAUGAGCCAUACUUUUUAAUCUCUUAAUGAGGAAAUAAUUAUUACAUGUUUUCAGUGUCCUGCAGCCCUUGUGGCAGCUCUGGAAUUUCACGAGCUGACCAGCCAGCAGCCCCAUGACCUGCAGUUGCAUCUGCCAAUGAAUGUGUGGUUAAACAGGGAACUCAGCACAGCCAUUUCUGUAAGAAACUGCUGACUAAUACUGGGAAGAAUCUAGUCAAUUUGAAUUAUACUUCAAAUUAAAGAGAAUAUAAUUAAUGAAGAUAUUUUUAUCUCAAGUAAGGAACUAGCUUGCUGUUUUUCAUUCAAAGUUAAUGCUACCCUUCAGCACUGGAACUCUUCAGCUAGCACUUCACCCAAGUGUCCUCUGCUGUCACUCAAAAAAUGCCCCUUAGGGACUGCUUCAGGAAAUAAAAUGAGUGCAGUAAAACAGUGCACUGUAUCACCAGGCUUAUUGCAGCAUAUUUCUGUUGUGCUCAUGCAUGUGACGUUUCUGUAACACCGAUUAAUUCAGUGAUGAGUGUCUCUUUACUUUAAAGCUACUUAACUAGAAAUGAUUUAGAGACACCAGAUUUUUACAUUCCAGGAACUUUGAACUGUCACAUAAUUUGACAAUUAAGGUCUAAAGAAUACAUAAAAGCAUGUAACAAGCAUAUAACAAGAUAUGACUAUAAAUUGUAGCCCUCUAGGUAAGCUUAGCUCCAAACAGAAAAAAAAGAUCUCCUCAAAUUCAUUUUGAAAACCAGAAAAAUAUCUUGUGUAACACAGGACAGAAUAGCUGUCUAAAAGCAUAUGCCCAUUUUAUUCAAAUUUUGUAGUAAAACUCCUAAAAUUGCAGCACGACCUUUCCAAUAAAUAACAAAAACACAUCAAAAAUACUUAUUUGUUUCUGUAAUCUCUCAUUUAAAAUAAUUUCUAAUACUGGGUGAGUUACACUAAUUAUUUGGUACUAUAUUACAAAGAAAACGUUAAAAAAAUUGGUACUAUGUUACAAACAAAACUUCCUUAUUUGGAGUGCUUAGGCAAUUCAAGUCAGAUAUUUGCAGCUACCCCUUAAAGACCAGUGAAAUGCAAUCUUUGGACUCUAAUUAUGUAUUCAAGCUUACAAAGUCUCUAACCUCAACCUUAAUUGUCUUUGUCCAAAAUAAAGCUGCCAAAGAUACAUCUCACUGUUUAAUAUUGUGGAUUAUCCAUAAGCAUAAUACAGUAUUUUGUCUGAGUCUGUUAAUUAGUUUCAUAAUUUUCCCAGUCAUUCAGACUGAGUUAUCUUAAGAAUUCACAGCUGGUAUGGAAUUGCCUACAUAGCUAAAAUAUGUGUCUUGGUAAUGGCUAAUACUUCUAAUUACAUAUGUGUUGGCAAAGUGUUUAGGUUCAGGAUAAAUCAUGCUGCUGGCCACAAUUUAGCAAACAAAAGGAGAAAAAAUUAUACAUUAUGUAAUGCAAAAUAAAUUUUCUAUCAUUCAUCUAAAGCAUUAGGGACCCUCUGAAUUAGAUCUAUACUCUUAAUCAUGCACAAUCCCAUUCAUAAGAGUUUUAAAAAGUGCCAAAAGCAAAACAAAAAACCUAAAUCAGCUCUGCAGAACAAAACUUCCCAGAACAACCACUGGGAGAAGCAGAAAUACAACAACUAAGUUAACUGUCUCACUGCAAGUGCUCACUCUCAAAAAUAUCCUGCUUUUAGAUGUACUUAAUGUACAAUUUUGCAGGUGCCAUCAAAGCAGUAAAUGUGUCAGGGGCUGCUGCAGAAUAGAGCACCACCAAAAACUGCAUAGUUUUUAGUCUGUCCCAAGGAGAGUCAAAUCACUCUGGCCCAAUGACUGAAACACUUGAACAAACGCACAAGGAUCAUUUCAGAAGGGAUUCUCACCACUCUGAGCUUUGGAGGUAAAGGCCUCCUUUCCAGUGAAAGUAAACAAGAUCCAACAGUCUAAUUUUCACUUGCAUCACUGAAAAUCUCAGUUUACCACAGAUGCAUCCAAUAUACAGAAAUUCUUCCAGAUCCUACUAAUGGUACACAAAGCAUUUCAAAAUGGCCAACACUGAAAGACAAAAAACUAUCCCCCUUUCAUUUCCAUGGGAUAAGAGGAAGGAAAAUCCUUAUCUGCAAUUCCUUCUCUAUGCACAUGAGUUGGGAACUUUUGCUGCCCCUGAUGAUAGUUUCCCAAUUUUGAUAUUCAUCUCCUCAAAACCACAAUAUAUAUUGACACUCAUUCUGAAUCAUGUGUUCACUGUGGUAAAACCAGCUGUCCUGAUCUCCCACAUGCAGGAUCAUGUCUGCUCCCCCCUGCCCACAUUAUUAUUUGUAUGGCCAUACAGGAAGCUCAAUCAGCCUGUUCUGCUUGAAGUUAAUCAGGCAAAGUUUUCAGCGACUCUCUAACACAGCUUACCAUGUAAUUGUGCUAACAUUAUUACUGGCUCAGGAGAAGCAGUGGAAAUACAUGACUGGGGAAAGAUAGGACUGUUUUUCUGGGUCACGGGCUCACUCAAGGGGCUUAAGUGACUGAGACAGCAGCCUAAAUUUGGGAAUCAUCUCUGAGAGCAAAUGUAUUCUCAUGAAUCCUCCCUAUCACUACUCCUAUACUGCCAGUUGCUUUUGCAGGACAUUUCAAUGUUUUUUCUAAGAUGCUGAAAUAAAAGCAGGGGAGGAUUUUUAAUCGUGUGAAUUUGACUAGUGCCAGACAACUGUAGCUUCAGCAGUUUAUCUGAAAUCUUCCACUGUGCUGUUCUCUUUGUUUUGGUUAUAUCAUUUGCUUCUACUUCAAGAACCUAGAACAUCAGACAGCAUGGCUGAGCACAGACCAAGAACCAGAAAUAUGUAAUACAAAUACUAAAACCAGCACUGGCUUUUUAUUUAUCUGCUACAUUUACCUAUCAUGCUGGAAAUAAUAAUUUUUAAUUACCUCAUUUCACAAGCACAGUUGCUGGAUCUCUGAUGCAAUACACGAAAUAUAUUUUUAAGAAACAGAUGCAAAGUUUUCUGCUGUGCCAAAGGAAAAUUAGAAUUGUAAUGUUCUGUCAAAGGAGGAGUUAUAUAUUCUUUGACAAAAUAGCAAUUUUCAUGGAAAUGAGAGGCUAUAUAGCCAAGUGAAACUUAAUCUCUUUUCAAGCUGCUUCUCAAAAAGAAAAUAUUAACAGCUAUUGCACAAUCACGCACCCACUCCAAUUAACUAUUGGUUAGACAUGUGAAAAGUGCAAGUUACCUGAUUCUACUUCCAAAGUUGUGAUGUCAUGCUAAUCUUGACUUCUAGCAAUCUACUUGAACAUAAGAGGAACUAAUAAAGAAGAUUGAAAAGGA